AAAAAUCGUUUCUAAUAAUUUUUUGGUCAUGGUAAUAUAUCACCUCUACAUUAUUUUUCAGAAGGGAAUGAUAAUGUAUAUUUACGGAAAUACCCCGUGUUAUUAACUAAUUUUCCUUCGCUUACUUGCCAUUGGCAUUUCUGGUUUUGCAACAGAGGCGAAACCAAAGCAAUACCAGACCAUAAUUCGUUGUCGAAGAUCAGAUGCUAUGAACAGAACCGAUCAAGUCGAGGACACAAACAGAAGAUAUGAUCCAUCUUAGGUGGAAUAGAGGACGAAGAGCAAUGGCUUGCCGAAUGAAUUGGCGUCAUUCUUCACAAUGCCUUUCACAUGCAACGCUCUUUGGUAUAGGUAUUCAACGCUUCAUCCAAACUCCACAUUUCUUCUGAUUCCCUUUCAAUUAAACCCUAAUUUUCAUUUCAAUUCCCAAACUUAGGUCUCCAACAAUCUCAGAUAGUCUCGCAAGUGUUCUGCUCAGAUGCUGUGGGAAUUCCGAACUUGAAAACUCUCCCAUCACAAAUAUUAUGAACUCUGUAAAUCCUAACUUCCUCCUGAUUCAUCAAAAAAUGAGAUUAAUAUGAUAUGGUCCUUCACCGAAAACUCAAAGUUACUUAAGUUUAUGAAUCGUUGAAAUCUCAGUGAAUCAUCGAUUGAAAAUUGUGGGUCCCUACUAUUUGAGAACUGUUCCUGACAUGAAUAUGGCUUCUUUGGUAAUGCAAUUGAUGUCCUAUGUGUGGUAAUACUAAAAGUUUGGUCCUGGAAGAAUAACUUUGGUCUUUACUGGCAAUUGUUGGACGACCAGAAGACAACAUUGUAAAUUCAGCACCAACUCCUUUUACGAUGCUGAAGUGACCUUGAGCUAACUAAUUGCUUAUAAAUACUACCAGGUUUUCCCAUGAGCUGCUUAUGGCUGCCAAAUUCAGCCACUCUCCCAUGUUGUAGCACAGCAAUACUAUCUGCAUCGCGAAUGGUCGACAAUCUGUGGGCUACCAAAAU